GGGGUAAGGCUCAGGCAUGGCAGGCUGCAGUCCCGAGGCCUGCCCUGCGGGAAGGCAGCUAAGGCCUGGCGAGAAAUUGAGCGCAGCGCCGGUGGGCUAGCACUGCUGGGGGACCCAGUACACCCUCCGCAGCCGCUGGCCCGGGUGCUAAGCCCCUCAUUGCCCGAGGCCAGCAGGGCCGGCCGGCUGCUCUGAGUGCGGCCCGCCAAGCCCACGCCCACCCGGAACUCCAGCUGGCCCGCAAGAGCCGCGCGCAGCCCCGGUUCCCUCUCGCGCCUCUCCCUCCACACCUCCCCGCAAGCUGAGGGAGUGGGCUCCGGCCUUGGCCAGCCCAGAAAGGGGCUCCCACCGUGCAGCGGUGGGCUGAAGGGCUCCUCAAGUGCCACCAAAAUAAGAGCCCAGGCAGAGGAGGCGCUGAGAGCGAGCGAGGGAUGUGAGGACUGCCAGCACGCUGUCACCUCUCAUUAGGAUGAAACUGGUUCCAGACGUGAGAGUUUUAUUCCAAUAUGGCUUCCAGGAUCCCAGAGGACUCGACUUGUAGAGAGCAUCACUGGAGUCAGAAGGGCCGAGGUCCAGGGGCCAAGAACACACCUUGGUGCCAGAAGAAGUUCAUAAGUCUUGAAAUGCAGCAUCUCCUGAGGUAGAAUCAUUGGGCAGAACUCAUGAUAACAGAGCCUUCAAGAUGCGGAGUGAGGACAGGUGUGGGGGCUCACGCCUGUAAUCCCAACACUUUGGGAGGCCAAGGCGGUUGGAUCACCUAAGGUCAGGAGUUCAAGACCAGCCUGGCCAACAUGGUGAAAUCCCGUUUUUACUAAAAAUACGAAGAAUUAGCUGGAUGUGGUGACGCCUGCCUGUAAUCCCAGCUACUUGGGAGGCUGAGGCAGGAAAAUCACUUGAACCUGGGAGGUAGAGGUUGCAGUGAGCUGAGAUUGCACCACUGCACUUCAGCCUGGGCAACAGAGUGAGACUCCGUCUCAAAAAAACAAAAACAAAAACAAAAGAUGGUGAGCGAGUAAGAGCAAUAAAAAUAUUUGAAUGUG